GCUGGUGUUGCUCAGUGGUUAGAGUGUCAGCCUGUAUCCUGAAGGGUCGUGGGUUCAAUUCCUAGUCAAGGGCA
rnacentral:tRNA from 1 species